rnacentral:rRNA from 1 species
UACGGGGGGGGCAAGCGUUGUUCGGAAUUACUGGGCGUAAAGGGCUCGUAGGCGGCCAACUAAGUCAGACGUGAAAUCCCUCGGCUUAACCGGGGAACUGCGUCUGAUACUGGAUGGCUAGAGGUUGGGAGAGGGAUGCGGAAUUCCUGGUGUAGCGGUGGAAUGCGCAGAUAUCAGGAGGAACACCGGUGGCGAAGGCGGGAUCCUGGGCCAGUACUGACGCUGAGGAGCGAAAGCGUGGGGAGCAAACAGG